UCUUGGGUUCCACCGUCACCACCAACAACACCAUCAUCACCCCCGCCACUAUCAUCACCAUUAUCUUAUGCAGACACGGAUCUCAUUAGUUGUAUGCAAGCUUCGUGGUAACAUCAGAAACAUCAGCUCCUCCAUUAACAUAUUUCUGAACCCUAGAACUCAAAUUUGAGCUGAUGAAGAUGGUGGUUCAGAGAUAACCUAACUGAUUGGAUUUUCAUCUUCUUCAAAAUCAAAUUAGGUUUCAAUCGAAUUACUUAAUCAAUCCAUGUUCAGAAAAGUUACUCAAUAACCUUCAUUCAUUUGGUUGAUGAAGAUCUAUCUCUUAUUACGUUACUGGUGCAGCUAUACUGAGGGCUAUGGUGGAGGAUUUCUGGGCUGUCAACUAUGGAAGUGUUUAACAAUUCAGUGCAAAUAACUUUUUAGGGGUAUGCACAAUUAGUGACAGCGGUUGAUGUUGUUUACAUGGUCUACGGAAAAUGCAUGGAUGGUGGAUUCAAAUCCAUCUUUUCCAUCAAGUUUUUGAAACUUAAUAAAGGCACUUUCCCAGAUUCGCUCCAGCUCUUCGCAGUGGCUACCCAAGAACUCUUAUAGGACUUUGAUCAUAUAACCCCAGUUGAGGCAGGUGAGACCUGGAUGACCCAGGUUCACAUCAUUCAAAAGUGAUAUAAGCUUGAUUCUGUAGGGCUUAAUGAUGUGACUAAAUUGGAUAUGCUUUCUGGAUGAUAAUGUAAGGAAUGCCUCCCCACUGUUAAAAUUUCCAUGGUAAUGUUUGGUUUUGUUGGGAGUGGCCAUUUAAGUGGGUAAACAUAAUACUGCAGUGUUAUUGUUUGGUAUUUUUGUAAAGUGCAACAUAAUCAAUGCUUAGAUUCUGUUUUGCUGCAAACUGCUGUGGCUGUGCACAAAUGAAUAUUAAGUGAAAAUGUUUGCCAAUGUGCAACGCACGUGCAUUCUACUUGUAGUAUAAGGAAUACAACACGAGGUUUAUUGCUUAACCAUUAAACUUUGUAGAUAA